UAUAGCAUGUUGAACUUUUUAUUCAUAAAAUUUAUUCCAUUAUAUGAACAUUCCCACACUUCUUAAUGUCUUGGCAAUAGUUUCAACGGAAGUCAGUAGACCGAAUCAUAAUCAUCGUCUUUAUCAUCAUCAUCAUCAUUAACAUUGGCAUUGACUCAAACUUUUCGAUUCUCUCACGCUCUCAUUAUUCUUAUUCCAGAAGUCUACCGCGCAAAUGAACAAAAGUACACGUACUUCAAGAAGAGAAGUUGAAAAAAGACGUUCCAACUGCUGAAACUGGUUUCCAACGACCUCGCGACUUUGCUUCCUUCUUUUCAUACACUCACACACACACACACACACGCACACACGUACACAUUUACACUUCUGACUCUCGGCUUUUCGUUUCUAUCAUCUGCUUCUUUAUCUACUACUACCUCAUUCUUUUUGUUUCUUCUCUACUUUUUUUUUUUACGUCACAAAAGUGCGCCCUUGAACUGGGAAUAUAAAUCUGUGAGAAUUUACUUCCGUUUUUACAAAUGAACAUAAUACUCUUCAAAAACGUCUUUUAUUCUUUCAAAUUGUAGAUAGCGGUUAAUAUCUUGUGUAUCAUCAUAAUAAAACUUGAGAAAGAGGAAAUUUGACUGACAAUGAUAUUACGUCACAAGUAUGUUGACUCACCAUUACAAUUACCACCACCAUCACCAAUGUUAUUCUGAUUAUUAAUAUAAUCCUUAUCAUCAAUAAGAGAAAUAAAUAAUAUUAAAUCGUACUGACCGAGGUAUACAAAUGAAUGUGAAUAUUUUUUCUUCUCAUUUCUAUCUGACACACUACUCUUUGACACAAAGUCGAACCAGUUGCUCAAAGUGACGUGAGCAAACUAAACUUGUAGUCUGGCAAGUAUUGCCAGGUAAACUACGCUUACAACCUGCAUGCCGGCUGGUCGAAGGAAAGGAAGGUGCUCAGCGGGCCGUAUAGUAAAAGAGACCUAACACAACCAACCUGCCUGCGAGUCCAUGCCCCUCUCUUAUUUUUUCAUUUCUACUUUUCUCUCCUAUAUAUCCUUGUAAGAUUGAACAUGAGCCAAACUUAUGUGUGAAAUGAUGAGUUGGUAAAGGACAGUAUAUCAUGUAACAGUUAGAGUCUAGCAUAAGGAGAAGGGCAACCCUUACUUCAUAGUAUUACCUUUGAAAGAGAAGGGAUAAGACCUGACGUUAGAGUGAUUCACCUCAACAACGAGUAAAUCAGCAGCAUCAAAAGUCUACCUUUUCAUACCAACAAGUACUGUUAUAAGUCCAUUUUUUUUCUUUACGUUCAUUAAUACUAAAUUAUCACCCAAUUCCAUCACUGCUUUUGUGUGUCCUUAUAUUGGCUAGGUAUUUUAUAAGCCGUUCAAAAGAAAUAAUAAAAUUGUGUUGAAAUAUAUGACAAUUUAUUCAAGUAAAUCCAGUGGAGCAUGACAUGAUGUAGCCAAAAAUCAAGAAAAUCGUUAGAAUUUUCAUUUUAUUUUUUUUUUAAAUUUCCCCUUUUUUUCACCAUCAAAUGCACCGUAAUUAUCUAUUGUCAGGAAAAAAAAGGUUUAAACAAAUUUUUUUUCAAAACUUCUCUAUUCGAUUAUAAUAGAAAGAUGACUCGUACAAAUUUUUGUCUAGGAAACCAAUUUUAUACGCAACCGGUAGAUUUAAUGCUUUUGUAAUUUUAUAAUCAAUUUUAUCGGUUUUUGCUGCACUGUAUUUUCUCCACUCAGCUGUCGAAAGAAAAAAUUUAACUUUGGAUAGUAUUAGUAAUUCUUGUUUCUUUCAUUUAGUUUUUGAUUAUUAUUAUUAUUUUUAUUAUAUUAUUGUAGAGUAAAAAAUUAUUGUUGCACAUCGUUGAUUCCCUUGCGGGGUCAGUGGACUCGAGCUAAAAAGUUAGUGGAGCGCUUAGCCUAACAAAGAAUAUACAAUGAAUCAGAGUAUCCAGUCUGAUUGUUGAAAGAUGUUGAAUAAAGAAUGUUUAGAAAUUUUAAUUCAUUCAAAUAUAAAUAAACAUCAUUUCAUUUAUG